rnacentral:rRNA from 1 species
AUUGAACGCUGGCGGCAGGCCUAACACAUGCAAGUCGAGCGGAGCGGCGGACGGGCGAGUAAUUCCUAGGAAUCUGCCUGGCCGUGGGGGAUAACGGCCGGAAACGGGCGCUAAUACCUCAUAUUAUCUAUUGAGCCUAGCCCGGAGUAGCUAGUUGGUGGGGUAAAGGCCUACCAAGGCGACGAUCCGUAACUGGUCUGAGAGGAUGAUCAGUCACACUGGAACUGAGAAACGGUCCAGACUCCUACGGGAGGCAGCAGUGGGGAAUAUUGGACAAGUGGCGAAAGCCUGAUGCAGCCAUGCCGCGUGUGUGAAGAAGGUCUUCGGAUUGUAAAGCACUUUAAGUUGGGAGGCGUUACCAACAGAAUAAGCACCGGCUAACUUCGUGCCAGCAGCCGCGGUAAUAC